rnacentral:rRNA from 1 species
AGAGUUUGAUCCUGGCUCAGAUUGAACGCUGGCGGUAGGCUUAACACAUGCAAGUCGAGCGGUAACAGACAUUUUGAUUUUGCUUGCAAAAUCUCGUGCUGACGAGCGGCGAACGGGUGAGUAACGCGUAGGAAUCUACCUAGUAGAAGGGGAUAGCCCGAGGAAACUCGGAUUAAUACCGUAUACGUCCUUAGGGAGAAAGAGGGCUUAGCUUUGAUGCUCUCGCUAUUAGAUGAGCCUGCGUAAGAUUAGCUUGUUGGUGAGGUAAAGGCUCACCAAGGCGACGAUCUUUAGCUGGUCUGAGAGGACGAUCAGCCACAUUGGGACUGAGACACGGCCCAGACUCCUACGGGAGGCAGCAGUGGGGAAUAUUGGACAAUGGGCGCAAGCCUGAUCCAGCCAUACCGCGUGUGUGAAGAAGGCCUUCGGGUUGUAAAGCACUUUAAGUAAGGAAGAAAAGAGUAUUGUUAAUACCAAUACUCCGUGACAUUACUUACAGAAUAAGGACCGGCUAAUUCCGUGCCAGCAGCCGCGGUAAUACGGAAGGUCCAAGCGUUAAUCGGAAUUACUGGGCGUAAAGCGCGCGUAGGUGGUUUAUUAAGUUGGGUGUGAAAGCCCCGGGCUCAACCUGGGAACUGCAUCCAAAACUGAUUCACUAGAGUACGAAAGAGGAAAGUAGAAUUCACAGUGUAGCGGUGGAAUGCGUAGAUAUUGUGAAGAAUACCGAUGGCGAAGGCAGCUUUCUGGUUCUGUACUGACACUGAGGUGCGAAAGCGUGGGUAGCGAACAGGAUUAGAUACCCUGGUAGUCCACGCCGUAAACGAUGACAACUAGCUGUUGGGAAGCUAUGCUUUUCAGUGGCGCAGCUAACGUCUUAAGUUGUCCGCCUGGGGAGUACGGCCGCAAGGUUAAAACUCAAAGGAAUUGACGG